rnacentral:rRNA from 1 species
GACGAACGCUGGCGGCGUGCUUAACACAUGCAAGUCGAACGGAAAGGCCUGCUUUCCCUUGUGGAUUGCGGGUACUCGAGUGGCGAACGGGUGAGUAACACGUGAGUGAUCUGCCCCCAACUUGGGUAUAAGCCUGGGAAUCUGGGUCUAAUUCCCGAUAGGACUGCAGGGUGGUGCCUGUGGUGGAAAACGAUUUUCUAGUGGUUGGGGAUGAGCUCGCGGCCUAUCAGCUUGUUGGUGGGGUAAUGGCCUACCAAGGCGGCGACGGGUAGCCGGCCUGAGAGGGUGGACGGCCACAUUGGGACUGAGAUACGGCCCAGACUCCUACGGGAGGCAGCAGUGGGGAAUAUUGCACAAUGGGCGGAAGCCUGAUGCAGCGACGCCGCGUGGGGGAUGACGGCCUUCGGGUUGUAAACUCCUUUCGACCGCGAGGAAGCCACCUGGUUGGAAGGGUGGUGACGGUAGUGGUAGAAGAAGCACCGGCUAACUACGUG